rfam:Ipomoea nil DNA, scaffold: scaffold0114, cultivar: Tokyo-kokei standard.
GACUCCAUGGCCCAAUGGACAAGGUGCUGGUCUAUGAAACCAGAGAUUUUGGGUUCAAUCCCCAUUGUAGUCG